rnacentral:rRNA from 1 species
UACGAAGGGGGCUAGCGUUGCUCGGAAUCACUGGGCGUAAAGGGUGCGUAGGCGGGUCUUUAAGUCAGGGGUGAAAUCCUGGAGCUCAACUCCAGAACUGCCUUUGAUACUGAGGAUCUUGAGUUCGGGAGAGGUGAGUGGAACUGCGAGUGUAGAGGUGAAAUUCGUAGAUAUUCGCAAGAACACCAGUGGCGAAGGCGGCUCACUGGUCCAUUACUGACGCUGAGGUGCGAAAGCGUGGGGAGCAAACAGG